rnacentral:lncRNA from 1 species
GGCCGCUGGCCGCAGCUCCUCAGAGCCCGCCCUCCCGGGACUGCGGCGAGCUUGCGACGCACAGCGGAGCGCGGGGCAGGAGGGGGCGCUCGGAGCGGGGGCCGUAGCCACCGCGAGACCCCGGGUCCCCGAGUCCCAGGGCAGGCAGCCGCGCUGCGACCUGGCGAGGCGUCCGGGCGAGCAGAGGGGCACCCCGGUGUGUGGCACCGAAGCGGGCUCCUAGCCGCCCGCCACCUCCUUCGGUCGCGUGCCGGGACCCCGGAUUAUUUCCGCAAUUGCUGCGCGCACCUUUCUCCCGCUUUCCCCAGAUUCCUUCUCGGAAUGGGUCCUCCCGCCUCUGCGGCGGCUGGGAUGGCGCACACGAGAAACACGAUGCAGGAAGGACAGUGGGGACCACCAACCUCCUUGGUGGCCAGCUGAGCCCAGUGGAUGGCCCCUAUCUCAGCUGCAAGCCAACUUUGCUCCACCAGCCUGAGCACUGUGAGUUGCAAGCAUAUCCAUCCAUUCUGAAAGGAAUCUACAGCAUCUGAAAAUCAAAACUACUCUUGCUUUCCCAAACCCUUCACUUAACAUUGCUCAAUGUAGUUAAGUGGAGAGAAUGCAAAUGAUUUAUAUUUCACUGGCUACGUUGAAGAAACUCAAGGGAGAUGUGUUCUGCUUCAAGACUGGAAAAAAAAUCCCCAAAAACUGUAAUGCAAAGGCUUUGUAGUAUUUUUAAACCUUUGAUUCAGUCCAUAUGUGACAUCUG